CGGGGGUCGAACUCGGUGCCGCAGUUAACACAUUAAGUGCUCCGCCUGGGGAGUACGGUCGCAAGAUUAAAACUCAAAGGAAUUGACGGGGGCCCGCACAAGUAGCGGAGCAUGUGGUUUAAUUCGAAGCAACGCGAAGAACCUUACCUGGGCUUGACAUCCCAAGAAUCCUGUGGAAACACGGGAGUGCCCUUCGGGGAACUUGGUGACAGGUGGUGCAUGGUUGUCGUCAGCUCGUGUCGUGAGAUGUUGGGCUAAGUCCCGCAACGAGCGCAACCCUUGUUGUUAGUUGCUACCAUUAAGUUGAGCACUCUAGCGAGACUGCCUGGAUAACCAGGAGGAAGGUGGGGAUGACGUCAAAUCAUCGUGCCCCUUAUGUCCAGGGCUACACACGUGCUACAAUGGCCGGUACAAUUAGAUGCAAUCUCGUGAGAGGGAGCAAAACUGAAAAACCGGUCUCAGUUCGGAUUGUAGGUUGCAACUCGCCUACAUGAAGCUGGAGUUACUAGUAAUCGUGAAUCAGAAUGUCACGGUGAAUGCGUUCCCGGGCCUUGUACACACCGCCCGUCACACCAUGAGAGCCGGCAACACCCGAAGUCCGUGAGGUAACCGUAAGGAGCCAGCGGCCGAAGGUGGGGUUGGUGAUUGGGGUGAAGUCGUAACAAGGUAGCCG
rnacentral:rRNA from 1 species